GUGGGUGUAGCUCAGUGGUAGAGCUCCGGAUUGUGGAUCCGUAGGACAUGGGUUCGAGACCCAUCAUCCACC
rnacentral:tRNA from 1 species